rnacentral:rRNA from 1 species
AGCGUGACGGCGCGAGCAGGUGCGAAAGCAGGUCAUAGUGAUCCGGUGGUUCUGAAUGGAAGGGCCAUCGCUCAACGGAUAAAAGGUACUCCGGGGAUAACAGGCUGAUACCGCCCAAGAGUUCAUAUCGACGGCGGUGUUUGGCACCUCGAUGUCGGCUCAUCACAUCCUGGGGCUGAAGUAGGUCCCAAGGGUAUGGCUGUUCGCCAUUUAAAGUGGUACGCGAGCUGGGUUUAGAACGUCGUGAGACAGUUCGGUCCCUAUCUGCCGUGGGCGCUGGAGAACUGAGGGGGGCUGCUCCUAGUACGAGAGGACCGGAGUGGACGCAUCACUGGUGUUCGGGUUGUCAUGCCAAUGGCACUGCCCGGUAGCUAAAUGCGGAAGAGAUAAGUGCUGAAAGCAUCUAAGCACGAAACUUGCCCCGAGAUGAGUUCUCCCUGACUCCUUGAGGGUCCUGAAGGAACGUUGAAGACGACGACGUUGAUAGGCCGGGUGUGUAAGCGCAGCGAUGCGUUGAGCG